rnacentral:misc_RNA from 1 species
AAUUCUCAACUGCCCCCAGGCUUUGUGGCCUGCGGGUGAAGUUGGACUUGGAGGCAUGCUGGCGCGCAUGAAUGGGCUUUGUGCCCUGCUGUGCUUGUCGGCUCCUCUUGAAUGCAUGAGCUUUCCAAUCCUUGGCAAAGUAUCGUCGAUGUGAUAAUUAUCUGCGUCGCCCGAGAAAGCCUAAAAGGGGAAAUCUUUGAUCACGUUGGGUUGACCCACGUUUGACAA